AUCAUGGAGUAUAAUAAUUAAAUUUAAUAAAUUUAAUAUAACUAUUAAUAGAAUUAGGUUACUAAUAAAUUAAUAACAAUUAAUUUUAAAACCUAAAGGUAAACCUUUAUAUUAAUAAUGUUUUUUUUUUAUUAUUUUUUUAUAAUAAGAAUAAUUAUUAAUAAUAAUAAACUAAGUGAACUGAAACAUCUAAGUAACUUAAGGAUAAGAAAUCAACAGAGAUAUUAUGAGUAUUGGUGAGAGAAAAUAAUAAAGGUCUAAUAAGUAUUAUGUGAAAAAAAUGUAAGAAAAUAGGAUAACAAAUUCUAAGACUAAAUACUAUUAAUAAGUAUAGUAAGUACCGUAAGGGAAAGUAUGAAAAUGAUUAUUUUAUAAGCAAUCAUGAAUAUAUUAUAUUAUAUUAAUGAUGUACCUUUUGUAUAAUGGGUCAGCAAGUAAUUAAUAUUAGUAAAACAAUAAGUUAUAAAUAAAUAGAAUAAUAUAUAUAUAUAUAAAAAUAUAUUAAAAUAUUUAAUUAAUAUUAAUUGACCCGAAAGCAAACGAUCUAACUAUGAUAAGAUGGAUAAACGAUCGAACAGGUUGAUGUUGCAAUAUCAUCUGAUUAAUUGUGGUUAGUAGUGAAAGACAAAUCUGGUUUGCAGAUAGCUGGUUUUCUAUGAAAUAUAUGUAAGUAUAGCCUUUAUAAAUAAUAAUUAUUAUAUAAUAUUAUAUAAAUAUUAUAUAAAGAAUGGUACAGCAAUUAAUAUAUAUUAGGGAACUAUUAAAGUUUUAUUAAUAAUAUUAAAUCUCGAAAUAUUUAAUUAUAUAUAAUAAAGAGUCAGAUUAUGUGCGAUAAGGUAAAUAAUCUAAAGGGAAACAGCCCAGAUUAAGAUAUAAAGUUCCUAAUAAAUAAUAAGUGAAAUAAAUAUUAAAAUAUUAUAAUAUAAUCAGUUAAUGGGUUUGACAAUAACCACUUUUUAAUGAACAUGUAACAAUGCACUGAUUUAUAAUAAAUAAAAAAUAAUAUUUAAAAUCAAAUAUAUAUAUAUAUAUAUAUUUGUUAAUAGAUAAUAUACGGAUCUUAAUAAUAAGAAUUAUUUAAUUCCUAAUAUGGAAUAUUAUAUUUUUAUAAUAAUAAUAAAAAUAUAAAUACUGAAUAUCUAAAUAUUAUUAUUACUUUUUUUUUAAUAAUAAUAAUAUGGUAAUAGAACAUUUAAUGAUAAUAUAUAUUAGUUAUUAAUUAAUAUAUGUAUUAAUUAAAUAGAGAAUGCUGACAUGAGUAACGAAAAAAAGGUAUAAACCUUUUCACCUAAAACAUAAGGUUUAACUAUAAAAGUACGGCCCCUAAUUAAAUUAAUAAGAAUAUAAAUAUAUUUAAGAUGGGAUAAUCUAUAUUAAUAAAAAUUUAUCUUAAAAUAUAUAUAUUAUUAAUAAUUAUAUUAAUAAUAUAUAUAAUUAUAUUAUAUAUUUUUUUUUUUAUAUAAUAUAAACUAAUAAAGAUCAGGAAAUAAUUAAUGUAUACCGUAAUGUAGACCGACUCAGGUAUGUAAGUAGAGAAUAUGAAGGUGAAUUAGAUAAUUAAAGGGAAGGAACUCGGCAAAGAUAGCUCAUAAGUUAGUCAAUAAAGAGUAAUAAGAACAAAGUUGUACAACUGUUUACUAAAAACACCGCACUUUGCAGAAACGAUAAGUUUAAGUAUAAGGUGUGAACUCUGCUCCAUGCUUAAUAUAUAAAUAAAAUUAUUUAACGAUAAUUUUAUUAAAUUUAGGUAAAUAGCAGCCUUAUUAUGAGGGUUAUAAUGUAGCGAAAUUCCUUGGCCUAUAAUUGAGGUCCCGCAUGAAUGACGUAAUGAUACAACAACUGUCUCCCCUUUAAGCUAAGUGAAAUUGAAAUCGUAGUGAAGAUGCUAUGUACCUUCAGCAAGACGGAAAGACCCUAUGCAGCUUUACUGUAAUUAGAUAGAUCGAAUUAUUGUUUAUUAUAUUCAGCAUAUUAAGUAAUCCUAUUAUUAGGUAAUCGUUUAGAUAUUAAUGAGAUACUUAUUAUAAUAUAAUGAUAAUUCUAAUCUUAUAAAUAAUUAUUAUUAUUAUUAUUAAUAAUAAUAAUAUGCUUUCAAGCAUAGUGAUAAAACAUAUUUAUAUGAUAAUCACUUUACUUAAUAGAUAUAAUUCUUAAGUAAUAUAUAAUAUAUAUUUUAUAUAUAUUAUAUAUAAUAUAAGAGACAAUCUCUAAUUGGUAGUUUUGAUGGGGCGUCAUUAUCAGCAAAAGUAUCUGAAUAAGUCCAUAAAUAAAUAUAUAAAAUUAUUGAAUAAAAAAAAUAAUAUAUAUUAUAUAUAUUAAUUAUAAAUUGAAAUAUGUUUAUAUAAAUUUAUAUUUAUUGAAUAUAUUUUAGUAAUAGAUAAAAAUAUGUACAGUAAAAUUGUAAGGAAAACAAUAAUAACUUUCUCCUCUCUCGGUGGGGGUUCACACCUAUUUUUAAUAGGUGUUCACCCCUCUUCGGGGUUCCGGUUCCCUUUCGGGUCCCGGAACUUAAAUAAAAAUGGAAAGAAUUAAAUUAAUAUAAUGGUAUAACUGUGCGAUAAUUGUAACACAAACGAGUGAAACAAGUACGUAAGUAUGGCAUAAUGAACAAAUAACACUGAUUGUAAAGGUUAUUGAUAACGAAUAAAAGUUACGCUAGGGAUAACAGGGUAAUAUAACGAAAGAGUAGAUAUUGUAAGUUAUGUUUGCCACCUCGAUGUCGACUCAACAUUUCCUCUUGGUUGUAAAAGCUAAGAAGGGUUUGACUGUUCGUCAAUUAAAAUGUUACGUGAGUUGGGUUAAAUACGAUGUGAAUCAGUAUGGUUCCUAUCUGCUGAAGGAAAUAUUAUCAAAUUAAAUCUCAUUAUUAGUACGCAAGGACCAUAAUGAAUCAACCCAUGGUGUAUCUAUUGAUAAUAAUAUAAUAUAUUUAAUAAAAAUAAUACUUUAUUAAUAUAUUAUCUAUAUUAGUUUAUAUUUUAAUUAUAUAUUAUCAUAGUAGAUAAGCUAAGUUGAUAAUAAAUAAAUAUUGAAUACAUAUUAAAUAUGAAGUUGUUUUAAUAAGAUAAUUAAUCUGAUAAUUUUAUACUAAAAUUAAUAAUUAUAGGUUUUAUAUAUUAUUUAUAAAUAAAUAUAUUAUAAUAAUAAUAAUUAUUAUUAUUAAUAAAAAAUAU
rnacentral:rRNA from 1 species